ensembl:lncRNA
UGGUGACAAUCCUCCUGCCUCAGCCUCCCCGAGUGCUAAGAUUGCAGGUGUGUGCUACCACACCCGGCUAAAACAACUCAUCUCUACAGCUGCAGGUGCAGUAGAAAAUUUUAAGUCAUUUCCCCCUGGUAUCAAUGACUUACUUGUAUUUGAGGACAGAUGUCCACACUUCUCUUUCUGCACAUAACCCAGACUUCGCCCCGUUAGUGCACACAUUUGCUGCGUCUCUCUCCUGCACAGCUGGGAUCUCAUUGCGCAGCCACAGCAGAUCUGAUUCAGAAGGCGCCUGCAAGACCUAGUGAGCAUCCAGAGACCGCGAGAGCCCACCAGACGGAGAAGGAAGUGGGGUGGGAAUAACAGAAACACCGAGAACCUCGUCAGGGAGCAGGCGGGGAAAGCAGCUCCUCGCUCCAUGCGCACCCCAGCUGGAGACAGUGGCCGGACACACACUCAGCGUGCGUGCGGGGAGCCCAGAAUGGCACAGCGGAGGGGACGCAACUCGCAUGUCACUGCAAAGGGCACCAGGGAGAGCGCAGCAGGCCCCGCGCCUGGCUCAAGGAGCACGGGGCAGGACUUGGGUUCGGCCCACCGAACAGCCCUCAGGAUCCCUCCAGGAGCUGCUGGAGACCUCAGCACAGCAGAGGCUGGCCCGGCCUGCAAGCACACCUUGAAGGAAGGAAGGGUCGCUGUGAGUCUGAGAACAGCCUGGGCCAUGUAAUGAGUUCAAGACCAGCCUGGACCACACCCCGAGGUCCUGUCUCAAGAAACCAAAGCCAGCGAAGAGCCCUGGGCACCAACCCGCUGAGAGGAGGGCAUCAUUCUCUGCAGCAGGGCAGGAGGAUGAACGUGCACCCCAUGCCCUCCCCCGGCCUUCUCAGAGCCCCAGCCACACCCGACCACCCAGUUCUGCCAGCCCGGCUCCAUUACUCACCCAGCAGGCUGAGGUCAUCCAGGAAGGAAGCCUCGCUCCUGGAGCUCACCACACUGUCGCAAC